rnacentral:lncRNA from 1 species
CUUUGAUACGAUGUUGAGUACUACCACAUCUAAAGCAUCCUUUUGUCAACUUGUAGCAGGGUCUGUUACCAUGGUUCUUUCUACAAUGGGGACAUAUAUGUUAUGUCGCUUGUGUUGGGACUAAAAGAUUCGUUUUCUGCCUUUUAUCAGGUUGUUGUGGCUCAUAGACCUUUCUCUUAUUAUUUGGUAUGAAUGGUCGAACUCGCUGAAUCUGGUGUGAGACUGGGCUUGUAGCAUAUUCUGCAAUCUGGGCUCAU